rnacentral:rRNA from 1 species
UNUGACUUGAGUGCAGAAGGGGAGAGUGGAAUUCCAUGUGUAGCGGUGAAAUGCCUAGAUAUAUGGAGGAACACCAGUGGCGAAAGCGGCUCUCUGGUCUGUCACUGACGCUGAGGCUCGAAAGCGUGGGUAGCGAACAGGAUUAGAUACCCUGGUAGUCCACGCCGUAAACGAUGAGUGCUAGGUGUUAGGCCCUUUCCGGGGCUUAGUGCCGGAGCUAACGCAAUAAGCACUCCGCCUGGGGAGUACGACCGCAAGGUUGAAACUCAAAGGAAUUGACGGGGGCCCGCACAAGCGGUGGAGCAUGUGGUUUAAUUCGAAGCAACGCGAAGAACCUUACCAGGUCUUGACAUCCCGAUGCUAUUCUUAGAGAUAGGAAGUUACUUCGGUACAUCGGAGACAGGUGGUGCAUGGUUGUCGUCAGCUCGUGUCGUGAGAUGUUGGGUUAAGUCCCGCAACGAGCGCAACCCUUAUUGUUAGUUGCCAUCAUUAAGUUGGGCACUCUAGCGAGACUGCCGGUAAUAAACCGGAGGAAGGUGGGGAUGACGUCAAAUCAUCAUGCCCCUUAUGACCUGGGCUACACACGUGCUACAAUGGUCGGUACAACGAGUUGCGAGCCGGUGACGGCAAGCUAAUCUCUGAAAGCCGAUCUCAGUUCGGAUUGGAGGCUGCAACUCGCCUCCAUGAAGUCGGAAUCGCUAGUAAUCGCGGAUCAGCACGCCGCGGUGAAUACGUUCCCGGGCCUUGUACACACCGCCCGUCACACCACGAGAGUUUGUAACACCCGAAGUCGGUGAGGUAACCUUUUAGGGGCCAGCCG